GCACUUGGAACUUGGCAGAGGCUGAUGUGGACCAAAAGGGGUGUGGGGGUGCUGGAGGGAGGUGGGUACAAGGCACAGGUAACCCUGACCUGGAGGAAGGAGCAGCAGUGGCCGUGAACCUGCGGGUCCACCAAGAAGAAUCGGGACCUGCCUGUGUCAUGGGCAGAGGAACUGACUGGCUUCACAAACUCCUGGACAACAGAUGGUGACCCAUGGUUUUGGGGCAGUCUCUCCCUCAGAACACCCUCUUCGAACCUGAUGGGCCUGGCUUCCUCUGGGCACCGAAUAAACACCUAAUGGGCUGAGCUUGGUGGGCUUGGCAGGUGCAUAACUCAAUGCUUUGCAGAUGGUACCCACGAGAAGUUGAACCUUCAUCUCACAGGCCGAUGGCUUUAAGGCCCCAGCUGUUCUUCAUCCAGCCAACAAGGAGUUUAAAGCACCUACUACGUGCCAGGCACCACACUAGGGCGUCGCACGGGGCAGAUGGGCUGCGCUGUCCAGCAGGUUUGCUGCCUUGUGUGUGCCUUCCAGUGGGCCUGGAAUCAAAUCAAGAGAACCUCCCAGCUUUGGCCUCUGCCCCCUGAGAGCUUGCACUCACACACGUAGGCCCUGAGAGGAAAAGGGAGCUUCCCUGAGUCACACAGUGAGAGCACGGCAGAACCAGGACAAGGGCCUGGUUCUCCUGAUCCUCUCCAAGGUGACACCCCCGUACCUCCCUGAAAACAUCAGGCCUGGUUGGGCGGCCAGGAGGAGGGUGAGUGAGUGAUCAGCCAUAUAACUGCCUCCCCCUGGCUCUCUCUCAUCCAGUACAAGUUGCUAAACCUCUCUGUGCCUCUCAGCCACCUCAAGGAUGAGAGAAUUCAUUGUAGUCAUGCCAGACAGCUUUUAUCCAAUGUUUAAUUUUGCAAGUGCUGGUACAGGUUUAUUUAAACAUGUUAUUAAACACAUAGAAGCACUAUGAAGCGGAGGGUUUUCUGAUCAUUCUCGUUUUCCAGAAGAGGAAACUGAGGCACAGAGAGAGAGCAAGGAACACGGUGGUAAGGAACACACUGGGACCUGGGCCCAGGCAGGAUGGGGGUGGGGCUGCCUCUGUACCAGAGGCCAUACAGUCAUCGGAGUGUGCAAGGUCUGAGUUUGAGUUCAUGGUUAAGUAUUUAGCAGUUGUUACCUCAGACAAUAACACAGUGAUGUCCUACAUUACAUAAUGAAAGUAGGAAUGUACUCUGUGGAAGAGAUCCAAGUACUAGGUGGGGCAGUGAGGCUGGGGGGAGGAAGGGGAGAGGUGGUCUCCAGGGCCCGAGAUAUGCUGGAAUAGGAAGGCGCUCUGAAGACCUCUGAAAGGCAUCACAACCUGCUGAGGUUCUUAGCACACAAGCUGGCGCAAAGAGCCAUCUGGUCUACCACCUGCCUGGUGGUCAGCACCCUGGACAGCUCCAGGCUGGUUUCCCAGACGCUCUUGAGGGCAAAAAAAAAAAAAAAAAAAAAAAAAAAAA